rnacentral:tRNA from 1 species
GCCUUCGUCGUAUAACAGUUAGCAAACUCGGCUCGUAGUCGAGACGUCCAGGUUCGAGUCCCGGCGAGGGCA